UACAGAGGUCUCAACCGUUGUUCGGAUUCAUUGGGCGUAAAGGGUGCGUAGGCGGUCGCGCAAGUCGGAUGUGAAGUCUCGGGGCUACCACCGAAACUGCAUUCGAUAACUGCGUGGCUCGAGUACUGGAGAGGAGACUGGAAUUUACGGUGUAGCAGUGAAAUGCGUAGAUAUCGUAAGGAAGACCAGUGGCGAAGGCGAGUCUCUGGACAGUUACUGACGCUGAGGCACGAAGGCCAGGGGAGCAAACGGG
rnacentral:rRNA from 1 species